rnacentral:rRNA from 1 species
GACAGAGGGUGCAAACGUUGUUCGGAAUUACUGGGCGUAAAGCGCGUGUAGGCGGCCAUCUAAGUCGGGCGUGAAAUCCCACGGCUCAACCGUGGAAGUGCACUCGAAACUGGAUGGCUAGAGUCCUGGAGAGGAAGGUGGAAUGCUUGGUGUAGAGGUGAAAUUCGUAGAUAUCAAGCGGAACACCGGUGGCGAAGGCGGCCUGCUGGACAGUGACUGACGCUGAGACG